rnacentral:tRNA from 1 species
GGAGUAUAGCUCAGUGGUAGAGCACAUGCUUGGCAUGCAUGAGGUCCUAGUUUCAAUCCCCAGUACCUCCA